UCAGUCGGCCGGACGGCCGCUCCGGCAGGUGCCGAAAGGCCGCCGGGGAGGAAAGUCCGGGCUCCCUUGACAUGCGGUGCCGGAUAACGUCCGGCGGGGGUGACCCCAGGGAAAGUGCCACAGAGAACGAACCGCCCGCCUUCGCCCUCCGGGGCUUCGGCGCGGCAAGGGUGAAAAGGUGCGGUAAGAGCGCACCGCGGGUCCGGCAACGGAGCCGGCAUGGCAAACCCCACCGGGAGCAAAACCGAAUAGGGACGGCUUAAGCGGGCUGUUCGCGAAAGCGAUAACGCCGCGGGGCGAUGUCAGGCCCGCCGUCCGGGUAGGUUGCUCGAGGCCGUGUGCAAACAUGGUCCCAGAGGAAUGGCCGUCACGUAUCGUUCGCGCAAGCGGACGGUGCCCUACAGAACCCGGCUUACAGGCCGGCUGAUAUC
rnacentral:RNase_P_RNA from 1 species